rnacentral:siRNA from 1 species
UAAGUGUUGGCAAUCCAGUGG